GACGAACGCUGGCGGCGUGCCUAAUACAUGCAAGUAGAACGCUGAAGGAGGAGCUUGCUUCUCUGGAUGAGUUGCGAACGGGUGAGUAACGCGUAGGUAACCUGCCUGGUAGCGGGGGAUAACUAUUGGAAACGAUAGCUAAUACCGCAUAAUAGUAGAUGUUGCAUGACAUUUGCUUAAAAGGUGCAAUUGCAUCACUACCAGAUGGACCUGCGUUGUAUUAGCUAGUUGGUGGGGUAACGGCUCACCAAGGCGACGAUACAUAGCCGACCUGAGAGGGGGAUCGGCCACUCUGGGACUGAGACACGGCCCAGACUCCUACGGGAGGCAGCAGUAGGGAAUCUUCGGCAAUGGACGGAAGUCUGACCGAGCAACGCCGCGUGAGGGAAGAAGGGUUUCGGAUCGUAAAGCUCUGUUGUAAGAGAAGAACGAGUGUGAGAGUGGAAAGUUCACACUGUGACGGUAUCUUACCAGAAAGGGACGGCUAACUACGUG
rnacentral:rRNA from 1 species